UACGAAGGUGGCAAGCGUUACUCGGAAUUACUAGGCGUAAAGGGCAGGUAGGUGGUUUAAUAAGUCUGUUGUGUCAGCUCCUGGCUUAACUGGGAGAGGUCAACGGAAACUAUUAGGCUUGAGUAUAGGAGAGGAUACUGGAAUUCCUGGUGUAGCGGUGAAAUGCGCAGAUAUCAGGAGGAACACCAAUGGCGAAAGCAAGUAUCUGGACUAUUACUGACACUCAGCUGCGAAAGCUAGGGGAGCAAACAGGAUUAGAUACCCUGGUAGUCCUAGCUGUAAACGAUGCACAUUAGACGUGAGGGGUAUCGACCCCCUUCGUGUCGACGCAAACGCAUUAAAUGUGCCGCCUGGGGAGUACGGCCGCAAGGUUGAA
rnacentral:rRNA from 1 species